GACGUAGGAUGCAAGCGUUGUCCGGAUUUAUUGGGCGUAAAGAGUUCGUAGGCGGUUUGUUAAGUCUGGUGUUAAAGAUCGGGGCUCAACCCUGGGAGUGCACUGGAUACUGGCAGACUGGAGUGCAGUAGAGGCGAGUGGAAUUCCCAGUGUAGCGGUGAAAUGCGUAGAUAUUGGGAAGAACACCGGUGGCGUAAGCGACUCGCUGGGCUGUAACUGACGCUGAGGAACGAAAGCCAGGGGAGCGAAUGGG
rnacentral:rRNA from 1 species